AUGAAUGCCAAAUGAAUUGAUUUUAUUGAAAAUGUUGCCAGAAAUCAUGUGUGGGGGGCUUGGUUUACAUGGAGAAAAUGACUGGGUGAUUUUUUCAAAUGAAACGAAUGAAUUAUUAUCAUCUUAUGUUCAUCUUGAUUGUGGUCACUGUUGAUGUUGGCUGAUGGCAAAAAACCCAAAACCAUCAGAAUAGCAAUGAACUGGCUGCCAACACAACAUAUUGAUUGAUAACUGUGCAGGGGGGGAAUUGGGUCUGUGUGUGUGUGUGUGUGGUGCAGGCUCAGUCUGUCUCUUCCUGUUGUGUGUCUGUCUGUCUGUCUGUCUGUGUGAAUGGAUGCCUAGCACUGUCUCUGUGUGUGGAUGCUUUCUGUGUGUAGUGUGUGUCAGUCUACAUGUUUUUUUUCCUCCCCCCAACUCCCUCCCCCCCAUGCCUCCCUCCAUCCUUCCCCUCUCAUCCUCUCCCCUUCCUCUUCACCACCUUCCAUCCUCCCUCCCUUCCAGCCCACCACCGCCUCACCUGCCCCCAACCCCGGUCUGGCAGAUGAUGAGAGUCUGGUCUCUCCCACCGAAGCACACACGUGAGCACGUGUGUGCACAAAUAUGUGGCUGACCAACUCUGAGCCGGACCCUCCCCCCUUCAAUCCCCUCUACAUCCCUCUCCCCCUCCCCUUUCCUCCCCCCUGCCUCCCUGCCUCCCUCCCUCCCCCCUCCUAGCUAGCAGCGCACACAUACACACACAAAACACCUGUGGUGGCAAACACCACCAGCACACAUGCACUCACACUGGUGCCACCACCUCUGCCUUGAGCCUCUGUGUCCUUGAGCAGAUAUGUGGUGGUGGACCAGAGAAGCAUUUCUUUCCAGCAAGGCAAAAGGCAUGCACUCACUGCACACACACACACACACACACGAAGAGGUGAAAAGACGAGAAGAGGCAACUUCUAGAACCAGCAGCAGCAGAAUUCAGAAGAUGAUUGACUGGGGCAAACCGUCUUGGAAACUGCCAUUCACCGAGUCAGGCCAUUGAUCCAUCUAGCUAAGAUUUGUCUACAUUCUACACUGACUGGCUGCAACUCUCCAAGAAUUUCAGGCAGCAGUCUUUUUCUGGAGAUGCUACCAGGGCUUGAACCUGGAACCUUCUUCAUGCAAGCAUGCAGAUGCUCUUCCACGGAGCUAUGGGGCCAUCCCUUAAGAAGAAUAUCUUCCAGCAUUCACUUGCAAUUGCCCAUCCAAAUGCAAACCAAGGUGACUCCUGCUUAGAAAAGGGACAAUUCUUUUGGAUGGGGUUGGGGACUCCAAAACACCACUUUAUGUAUGUAUGUAUGUAUGUAUUACAUUUUAUAUCCCGCUCUUCCUCAUGACAAUUGUAAUAAAAGAAACUAUAAACAUA